UACGGGGGGGCAAGCGUUGUUCGGAAUUACUGGGCGUAAAGGGCGCGUAGGCGGUGCUCUAAGUCAGGCGUGAAAGCCCUGGGCUCAACCCGGGAAUUGCGCUUGAUACUGGGGCGCUUGAAUCCAGGAGAGGUUGGUGGAAUUCCCAGUGUAGAGGUGAAAUUCGUAGAGAUUGGGAAGAACACCGGUGGCGAAGGCGGCCAACUGGACUGGUAUUGACGCUGAGGCGCGAAAGCGUGGGGAGCAAACAGG
rnacentral:rRNA from 1 species